rnacentral:rRNA from 1 species
AGAGUUUGAUCAUGGCUCAGAGUGAACGCUGGCGGCAGGCCUAACACAUGCAAGUCGAACGGCAGCACAGGAGAGCUUGCUCUCUGGGUGGCGAGUGGCGGACGGGUGAGGAAUACGUCGGAAUCUGCCUAUUUGUGGGGGAUAACGUAGGGAAACUUACGCUAAUACCGCAUACGACCUACGGGUGAAAGCGGAGGACCUUCGGGCUUCGCGCAGAUAGAUGAGCCGACGUCGGAUUAGCUAGUUGGCGGGGUAAAGGCCCACCAAGGCGACGAUCCGUAGCUGGUCUGAGAGGAUGAUCAGCCACACUGGAACUGAGACACGGUCCAGACUCCUACGGGAGGCAGCAGUGGGGAAUAUUGGACAAUGGGCGCAAGCCUGAUCCAGCCAUGCCGCGUGUGUGAAGAAGGCCUUCGGGUUGUAAAGCACUUUUGUACGGGAAGAAAAGCACUCGGUUAAUACCCGGGUGUCAUGACGGUACCGUAAGAAUAAGCACCGGCUAACUUCGUGCCAGCAGCCGCGGUAAUACGAAGGGUGCAAGCGUUACUCGGAAUUACUGGGCGUAAAGCGUGCGUAGGUGGUUUGUUAAGUCUGAUGUGAAAGCCCUGGGCUCAACCUGGGAAUUGCAUUGGAUACUGGCAGUCUAGAGUGCGGUAGAGGGUAGCGGAAUUCCCGGUGUAGCAGUGAAAUGCGUAGAUAUCGGGAGGAACAUCCGUGGCGAAGGCGGCUACCUGGACCAGCACUGACACUGAGGCACGAAAGCGUGGGGGAGCAAACAGGAUUAGAUACCCUGGUAGUCCACGCCCUAAACGAUGCGAACUGGAUGUUGGG